ensembl:lncRNA
AUGCUGCACAGCUUUGCACAAUGCUCAGUGCACGAUGUUGCUCAGCUCACGCUGCACAGCUUUGCACAAUGCUCAGUGCACAAUGCUGCACAGCUUUGCACAACGCUCAGUGCACGAUGCUGCACAGCUUUGCACACUGCUGCUCAGCUCAAAGUGCACAGCUUUGCACAAUGCUCAGUGCACGAUGCUGCACAGCGUUGCACGAUGCUGCUCAACUCAUGCUGCACAGCUUUGCACGGCGCUCAGUGCAGGGAGCUGCUCAGCACUUUGCAGUUUCCUCCUCUCCCUGCACAGCUCUGCGCUGUCGCCGCUUUCCUGUGGUUUCUCAGCAGCCACAGCCGCUGCUGGAGCCUUGCACACGCGCGAGGAUUGUGCAAAGCUGUGCACGGUCAGCUGAGCAGCGCCGUGCAACGCUGUGCAACAUCGUGCGCUGAGCUUUGUGCCCACAGGAUGUCCCCCAAAUUGUCCCCAAAUUGUCCCCACACUGUCGCCAAGUGGCCCCAAACUUGUCCCCAAAACUUGUCCCCAUGUUGCCCCCAAAGUGGUCCCCACGCUGUCCCCAAGUUGUGCCCAUGUUGCCUCCAUCUUGCUGUCCCCAAAUUGUCCCCAAACUGUCCCCAUGCUGUCCCCAAAUUGUCCCCACGCUGCUGCCAAGUGGCCCGAAACUUGUCCCUAUGUUGUCCCCCCAGCUGUCCCCAAAUUGUCCCCAUAUUGCCCCCAAAAGUGGUCCCCAUGCUGUUCCCAAGCUGUCCCCAUGUGGCCUCCAUCUUUCUGUCCCCAAAUUGUCCCCAUGCUGUCGCCAAGUGGCCCAAAACUUAUCCCGAUGUUGUCACCACAUCUGUCCCCAAAUUGUCCCAACAUUGCCCCCAAUAUUGUCCCCACGCUGUCCCCAAGUGUCCCCAUGUUGCCUCCAUCUUACUGUCCCCAAAUUGUCCCCAUGCUGUCACCAAGUGGCCCCAAACUUGUCCCCACGUUGUCCCCCCAGCUGUCUCCAAAUUGUCCCCAUAUUGCCCUCAAAUUGUCCCCACGCUGUCACCAAGUGGCCCCAAACUUGUCCCCAUGUUGCCCCCAAACUGUCCCCAAAUUGUCCCCACACUGUCGCCAAGUGGCCCCACACUGUCCCCAACUUGUCCCCAUGUUGCCCCCAAAGUGGUCCCCAAGCUGUCCCCAAACUGUCCCCAUGUGGCCUCCAUCUUGCUGUCCCCAAAUUGUCCCCAUGCUGUCGCCAAGUGGCCCAAAACUUGUCCCCACCUUGUCCCCAAAGUCGUCCCCACGCUGUCCCCAAGCGUCCCCAUGUUGCCCCUAUCUUGCUGUCCUCAAAGUUGUCCCCAAAUUGUCCCCACGCUGUCACCAAGUGCCCCAAACUUGUCCCCAAAACUUGUCCCCAUGUUGCCCCAAAGUGGUCCCCACACUGUCCCCAAGCUGUCCCCAUCUUGCCUCUCCAUCUCUCUGUCCCCAAAUUGUCCCCAUGCUGUCACCAAGUGGCCCAAAACUUGUCCCCAUGUUGUCCCCCGGCUGUCCCCAAAUUGUCCCCACAUUGUGCCCAGAAUUGUCCCCACGCUGUCCCCAAGUGUCCCCAUGCUGCCUCCAUCUUGCUGCCAAAUUGUCCCCAUGCUGUCGCCAAGUGGCCCAAAACUUGUCCCCAAAACUUGUCCCCAUGUUGCCCCCCAAAUUGUCCCCACGCUGUCCCCAAGCUGUGCCCAUGUGGCCUCCAUCUUUCUGUCUCCAAAUUGUCCCCAGUCCCCAAAUUGUCCCCAUGCUGUCACCAAGUGGCCCCAAACUUGUCCCCACGUUGCCCCCAAAGUCGUCCCCACGCUGUCCCCAAGCGUCCCCAUGUUGCCUCCAUCUUGCUGUCCUCAAAGUUGUCCCCAAAUUGUCCCCACGCUGUCACCAAGGUGCCCCAAAACUUGUCCCCAUGUUGUCCCCAUAUUGCCCCCCAAACGGUCCCCACACUGUCCCCAAGCUGUCCCCAUCUUGCCUCCAUCUCUCUGUCCCCAAAUUGUCCCCAUGCUGUCACCAAGUGGCCCAAAACUUGCCCCCAUGUUGUCCCCAAAUUGUCCCCAAAUUGUCCCCACAUUGCCCCCAAAUUGUCCCCACGCUGCCUCCAUCUUGCUGUCCCCAAAUUGUCCCCAAGCUGUCCCCAGCUGAAGACACUCUGGAGCCACACAGACAGCAGUGCCACCCCCUCCCCUCCAUUCCUGGGGGCAGGGACCCCCCGGUAGCCCCUGGGGACACAGGGCCAUCGAUGUCCCCAAGCACAGAGUGACACUGUGGCACCACUCCGGUCCCCUCACAGCGGAGGGAGCACAGAGAUCCCCCUCCC